AGCAGUCGCCGCGGUAAUACGUAGGUGGCAAGCGUUGUCCGGAAUUAUUGGGCGCAAAGGGCUCGCAGGCGGUUUCUUAAGUCUGAUGUGAAAGCCCCCGGCUCAACCGGGGAGGGUCAUUGGAAACUGGGAAACUUGAGUGCAGAAGAGGAGAGUGGAAUUCCACGUGUAGCGGUGAAAUGCGUAGAGAUGUGGAGGAACACCAGUGGCGAAGGCGACUCUCUGGUCUGUAACUGACGCUGAGGAGCGAAUGCGUGGGGAGCGAACAGGAUUAGAUACCCCGGUAGUCCCUGUCUCUUAUAC
rnacentral:rRNA from 1 species